rnacentral:rRNA from 1 species
UACAGAGGGUGCAAGCGUUAAUCGGAAUUACUGGGCGUAAAGCGUGCGUAGACGGUUAUUUAAGUCGGAUGUGAAAUCCCCGGGCUCAACCUGGGAAUUGCAUUCGAAACUGGAUGGCUAGGGUGCGGAAGAGGGAAGCGGAAUUUCCGGUGUAGCGGUGAAAUGCGUAGAUAUCGGAAGGAACACCAGUGGCGAAAGCGGCUUCCUGGUCCAGCACCGACGUUCAGGCACGAAAGCGUGGGGAGCAAACAGGAUUAGAAACCCUUGUAGUCC